AGCAGGGGUGUGCUAUGCGUGGAAGUCGUGCGGACCUUUUAAAAGCUUGCUUUUAAAAGGUUAGCGGCGGACGGGGGAGUAACACGUGGGCAACCUGCCUGUAAGAUCGGGAUAACGCCGGGAAACCGGGGCUAAUACCGGAUAGUUUUUUCCUCCGCAUGGAGGAAAAAGGAAAGACGGCUUCUGCUGUCACUUACAGAUGGGCCCGCGGCGCAUUAGCUAGUUGGUGGGGUAACGGCUCACCAAGGCAACGAUGCGUAGCCGACCUGAGAGGGUGAUCGGCCACAUUGGGACUGAGACACGGCCCAAACUCCUACGGGAGGCAGCAGUAGGGAAUCUUCCGCAAUGGACGAAAGUCUGACGGAGCAACGCCGCGUGAGUGAAGAAGGCCUUCGGGUCGUAAAACUCUGUUGCCGGGGAAGAACAAGUGCCGUUCGAACAGGGCGGCGCCUUGACGGUACCCGGCCAGAAAGCCACGGCUAACUACGUGCCAGCAGCCGCGGUAAUACGUAGGUGGCAAGCGUUGUCCGGAAUUAUUGGGCGUAAAGCGCGCGCAGGCGGCUUCUUAAGUCUGAUGUGAAAUCUUGCGGCUCAACCGCAAGCGGUCAUUGGAAACUGGGAGGCUUGAGUGCAGAAGAGGAGAGUGGAAUUCCACGUGUAGCGGUGAAAUGCGUAGAGAUGUGGAGGAACACCAGUGGCGAAGGCGGCUCUCUGGUCUGUAACUGACGCUGAGGCGCGAAAGCGUGGGGAGCAAACAGGAUUAGAUACCCUGGUAGUCCACGCCGUAAACGAUGAGUGCUAAGUGUUAGAGGGUUUCCGCCCUUUAGUGCUGCAGCUAACGCAUUAAGCACUCCGCCUGGGGAGUACGGCCGCAAGGCUGAAACUCAAAGGAAUUGACGGGGGGCCCGCACAAGCGGUGGAGCAUGUGGUUUUAAUUCGAAGCAACGCGAAGAACCUUACCAGGUCUUGACAUCCUCUGAUCCUCCCUGGAGACAGGGCCUUCCCCUUCGGGGGACAGAGUGACAGUGUGCAUGAUUGUCGUCAGCUCGUGUCGUGAGAUGGUGGGUUAGUCCCGCACGAGCGCACCUGAACUAGUGCAGCAAUCAGUGGCACCUCUAGUGACUGCCGUGACAACCGAGAAGGUGGGGGAUGACGUCCAUCA
rnacentral:rRNA from 1 species